CGAGAAAUCGGGGCUAAUACCGGAUGGGUCAUCGGACCGCAUGGUCCGAGGAUGAAAGGCGCUUCGGCGUCGCCUGGGGAUGGCUUUGCGGUGCAUUAGCUAGUUGGUGGGGUAAUGGCCCACCAAGGCGACGAUGCAUAGCCGACCUGAGAGGGUGAUCGGCCACACUGGGACUGAGACACGGCCCAGACUCCUACGGGAGGCAGCAGUAGGGAAUCUUCCACAAUGGACGAAAGUCUGAUGGAGCAACGCCGCGUGAACGAUGAAGGCCUUCGGGUCGUAAAGUUCUGUUGUAAGGGAAGAACUAGUGCCGCAGGCAAUGGCGGCACCUUGACGGUACCUUGCGAGAAAGCCACGGCUAACUACGUGCCAGCAGCCGCGGUAAUACGUAGGUGGCAAGCGUUGUCCGGAAUUAUUGGGCGUAAAGCGCGCGCAGGCGGCCUCUUAAGUCUGAUGUGAAAGCCCCCGGCUCAACCGGGGAGGGCCAUUGGAAACUGGGAGGCUUGAGUAUAGGAGAGAAGAGUGGAAUUCCACGUGUAGCGGUGAAAUGCGUACAGAUGUGGAGGAACACCAGUGGCGAACGCGACUCUUUGGCCUAUAACUGACGCUGAGGCGCGAAAGCG
rnacentral:rRNA from 1 species